AUUGAACGCUGGCGGCAUGCUUUACACAUGCAAGUCGAACGGUAACAGGCCGCAAGGUGCUGACGAGUGGCGAACGGGUGAGUAAUGCAUCGGAACGUGCCCAGUCGUGGGGGAUAACUGCUCGAAAGAGCAGCUAAUACCGCAUACGAUCUAUGGAUGAAAGCGGGGGACCGUAAGGCCUCGCGCGAUUGGAGCGGCCGAUGUCAGAUUAGGUAGUUGGUGGGGUAAAGGCUCACCAAGCCAACGAUCUGUAGCUGGUCUGAGCGGACGACCAGCCAGGCUGGGACUGGGACACGGCCCAGACUCCUACGGGAGGCAGCAGUGGGGAAUUUUGGACAAGGGGGGCGACCCUGAUCCAGCAAUGCCGCGUGCAGGAAGAAGGCCUUCGGGUUGUAAACUGCUUUUGUACGGAACGAAACGGUCUGGGUUAAUACCCUGGGCUAAUGACGGUACCGUAAGAAUAAGCACCGGCUAACUACGUGCCAGCCGCCGCCGUAACAC
rnacentral:rRNA from 1 species